rnacentral:rRNA from 1 species
AACGAACGCUGGCGGCGUGCUUAACACAUGCAAGUCGAACGGAAUAUGCAGCAAUGUAUGUUUAGUGGCGCACGGGUGAGUAAUGAAUAGGAACGUACCAGCAAAUGGGGGAUAACCACGGGAAACUGUGGCUAAUACCGCAUGAGAUCGUAAGAUGAAAGAGGGCCUCUACUUGUAAGCUCUUGUUUGUUGAUCGGCCUAUUUCCCAUUAGCUAGUUGGUAGGGUAAAGGCCUACCAAGGCAUCGAUGGGUAGCUGGUCUGAGAGGAUGGCCAGCAACACUGGGACUGAGACACGGCCCAGACUCCUACGGGAGGCAGCAGUGGGGAAUUUUGCACAAUGGGGGAAACCCUGAUGCAGCAACGCCGCGUGAGUGAAGAAGGCCCUUGGGUUGUAAAGCUCUUUCGGCUAGGAAGAGGGUUGUUUUACCUAAUACGUAAAGCAGCUGACGGUACUAGAAGAAGAAGCACCGGCUAACUCCGUGCCAGCAGCCGCCGUAA